AGCAUAUCAAUAAGCGGAGGAAAAGAAACCAACAGGGAUUGCCUCAGUAACGGCGAGUGAAGCGGCAUCAGCUCAAAUUUGAAAUCUGGCUCUUUCAGGGUCCGAGUUGUAAUUUGUAGAGGGAGCUUUGGCGUUGGCUGUGGUCUAAGUUCCUUGGAACAGGACGUCACAGAGGGUGAGAAUCCCGUACGUGGCCGCCAGUCUUCGCCGUGUAAAGCCCCUUCGACGAGUCGAGUUGUUUGGGAAUGCAGCUCUAAAUGGGAGGUAAAUUUCUUCUAAAGCUAAAUAUUGGCCAGAGACCGAUAGCGCACAAGUAGAGUGAUCGAAAGAUGAAAAGCACUUUGGAAAGAGAGUCAAAAAGCACGUGAAAUUGUUGAAAGGGAAGCGCUUGCAGCCAGACCUGCCUGUAGUUGCUCAUCCGGGCUUUUGCCCGGUGCACUCUUCUAUAGGCAGGCCAGCAUCAGUCCGGGCGGUUGGAUAAAGGCCUGCUAAAUGUACCUCUCUUCGGGGAGAACUUAUAGGGUAGGUGGCAUACAACCAGCCUGGAUUGAGGUCCGCGCAUCUGCUAGGAUGCNGGCGUAAUGGCUGUAAGCGGCCCGUC
rnacentral:rRNA from 1 species